rnacentral:rRNA from 1 species
UUGGGGGAAUGUAUAGCGAAAGCUAGCUGCAUUAGCUUAGCGAAAGCUAAAUUGGUGCAGGAUUGUCUCGUCGAAUAAAAUUCCGGAUAGGUUAUGAUGAUGACAUUUCCUGUCCGAAUGUCUUGACCAAAUUACGUGCCAGCAGUCGCGGUAAUACGUAGAAGACUAGUGUUAUUCAUCUUUAAUAGGUUUAAAGGGUACCUAGACGGUAAAUCAAGUCCAAGAAGGAUACUAAUUUGACUAGAGUUAAAUGUGAGGGGGCAUUAAAGUACUGAUAAGUGUAGAGAUGAAAUUCUGUGAUACAAUAUAAGGCACUGGCAAAGGCGAAGGCAUCUCCUUAUGUAAUAACUGACGUUGAGGGACGAAGGCUAUGUAUAGCAAAAAGGAUUAGGUACCCAAGUAGUCAUAGCAGAAAAUUAUGAAUGCCAUGGGAUGGAAAGAUGGAAAGAUGGAAACUUUUUUUUCUAUAAAUGAUAGUGUAAGCAUUCCACCUCAAGAGUAAUUUGGCAACAUUGGAACUGAAAUCAUUAGACCGUUUCUGAAACAAGUAGUGAAGUAUGUUGUUUAAUUUGAUGAUCCGCAAAAAACCUUACCACAAUUUGAAUAGAAAUUUUUUUUUAUACAAGCGCUGCACGGUUGUCUUCAGUUAAUGUCGUGAGAUCUUGGUUAGCUCCAUUAAAUUAACGUAAACCCUUACUUUAUUUUUAUAUAGAGUUGUUCCCCUCUAGAUUGGAUUAGAUAACAGGGACUAAGACAAGUCAUCAUGGCCAAAAUAUUGUGGG